rnacentral:lncRNA from 10 species
CGCCGCCACCGCCUCCUGGGACUCGGAACGCAGCGCUCGGAGCCAUGGCCUCGGCCCCCGCGGAGGCGGAGACCCGACAGAGGCUGCUACGCACCGUCAAGAAGGAGGUCCCUUCUCAAGGUCUCACUUUCCUGCUUUCUAAGUGGACGAGGUUGGACAGCUCCAGGAUUCCAAGAACCUCAACUCAUCUAAUUUGGCCAGUGUCACUCUCUGAGAGCCAAGUCUUUGUUUUUUCCACUCUGAAUUUGCCAAGUAUUUAUUCAAGACUAAUUAAAAC